AUUGAACGCUAGCGGCAUGCUUUACACAUGCAAGUCGAACGAGUGGCGGACGGGUGAGUAAUAUAUCGGACUGUGCCCAGUAGCGGGGGAUCACUACUCGAAAGAGUCGCUAAUACCGCAUACUCUUGGAGACCCCGAUAGCGGUUUAGCUAGUUGGUGGGGUAAAGGCUCACCAAGGCGACGAUCCGUAGCUGGUUUGAGGGGACGACCAGCCACACUGGGACUGAGACACGGCCCAGACUCCUACGGGAGGCAGCAGUGGGGAAUUUUGGACAAUGGGGGAAACCCUGAUCCAGCCAUCCCGCGUGUAUGAGAAGGCCGUCGGGUUGUAAAGUACUUUUGGCAGGGAAGCGGUAUCUGCAGAAGAAGCACCGGCUAACGACGUGCCAGCAGCCGCGGUAAUUC
rnacentral:rRNA from 1 species